UGUUCAAAAUUUCAUCUAUUUUAAUUGUUAAAAACCGACGUGGUUGACAGAAUAACAAUUACAUGUGGCGUGUUAUGUGUAUCUCAUUAUAACAUAUAGGGACGAGUUUUAAACCGUAUAAAUGGAUGAAACUUUUAACA
rfam:Gossypium hirsutum cultivar TM-1 chromosome 20, whole genome shotgun sequence